AAUAUCCUUUUUCCGUGCAAGACGUUGCAACUCGGGGCAGAGACCACAGAAGUCCACAGUUACUCUGAGCAGUGACAAACAUGGCGAGAAGCUCGGAUUAUGGAGCUUUCAUGGAGAAAUUUGAGCUCAAACCUACUUCUUCAUCUCCUGAAUUUCCCUUAAAUGGUCUCACCUUUGCCGUUAAAGAUAUUUUCGAUGUGGAUGGAUUGGUGACUGGGUUUGGCAAUCCGGAUUGGGCGAGGACCCAUUCAGCUGCUACCUCUACUGCUCCGGCUGUUUUGGCUAUCUUGAGAGGAGGAGCUACAUGUGUUGGUAAAACAGUCAUGGAUGAAAUGGCAUAUAGCAUAAAUGGGGAAAAUAAACAUUAUGGCACACCUACGAAUCCUUGUGCACCAGAUCGUGUACCAGGGGGAUCUUCCAGUGGGUCUGCUGUUGCGGUAGGUGCAAAGCUUGUGGACUUCUCCUUAGGAACUGAUACAGGAGGAAGUGUGCGAGUUCCAGCAUCAUAUUGCAGUAUUUUGGGGUUUCGACCUUCACAUGGUGCUGUUUCUACUGCUGGAGUUAUUCCCAUGGCACAGAGUUUUGAUACUGUGGGAUGGUUUGCUAGGGAUCCAGUGAUUCUGAGUCAAGUUGGACGCAUUCUACUUCAAUUGCCUGAUGUAGAUCUGGCUAGACCAAGUCAGAUAAUUAUUGCAGAAGACUGUUUUCAGCUUUCAAGCAUUCCCAAUAAUCGAGUUAGUCAAGUUCUUGUUAAAUCAGUGGAGAAGUUAUUUGGAGGUGAUGUUGUGAAGCAUUUAAUCCUUGGGAACUAUGUUGAGGAGAAAGUUCCAAGUUUGAGCCAUUUUAUGAGUAGAGAAAUCCAAAAGCAAGACUACAAUAUAGCAUCCUUGGCUGCCCUCUCAAGUGCCAUGCGUUUGCUUCAAAGGUAUGAAUUCAAGAAUAACCAUGGUGAAUGGGUUACUACUGUGAAACCUGAUUUGGGUCCAGGAAUAUCGGAACGAGUGUGGGAAGCUAUUCAAACAACAGGAGAAAACAUUGAUGCUUGUUACUCUGUGAAGGCAGAAAUAAUUGCUGCGCUUACAGCUCUUCUUGAGGUACUCUCUCUUGCAGCUACUCCACAACCCAAAAUUCUUCAUCAAAAGAAUUUUAAUCUAGGUUACAAACUAUGCUUGUGGCACUUGAUUAAUAUUCUAUAUCUGGACAUUGUUUUUCUCCUACUAAGAUCAAGAAAAAUCAGUCUAUCAGGGCUUAAGCAGUUAAGACGCUUGAAGCACUUCACUUAUGCUAUGAAUAAUAUAGUAUUUAUUUGCGGAUUGAUAUACCUCUGGUGGGAGAAAUUAUAUAAUAUACUGGUGAUUCCAAAUAAGAUGGUCUACAUGGAAUAACAAGCCAAUAAAGAUAAAAAUGUAUAUGUGGGUCUUAUAAAAUAGUAACUUUCUAAUAGUAGGUCCAAUAAAAUAACCACUCAGUGGUAUGUUACACUUGUCUAUUUUAAUUGGAUAGUUAUUCCAUGUAGAAAUUCUACAUGGAAUAGCAGAGAUAGCAUAUAAUUUCUUCCCCACUGUGAUACUUAUUCUGCCAUGAACUCUUCUCGAACCAAUUCAAUUCAGAACCUGCUAAGUAAAAUGCUGGUGAAACAUCUGGCAUAUUUGAUUUAUUCAUUAUUUUUAAAGUGCUUGUCUAAUAAGAUAAGAGCAGGAUUCUAGUAUCCUGGCUAUCCCGACAGUACCAGGACCUCCACCAAAAUUAAACACAGACCCAACUACUCUGGAAGUUUUUCGUGCCAAGGCUUUUAGCUUGCUCUCCAUUGCUGGAGUAUCAGGAUGCUGCCAGGUGAGCAUACCGCUAGGCAUGUAUGAUGAUCUACCUGUAGCUAUUUCAUUGUUGGCGAAACAUGGUUCAGAUGGUUUCCUGCUCAAUGUUGUUGAAACUCUUUACGACACUCUCCAAGAACAGGUUGCAAUUUCUGAAAGAUAGCUUGCUGAAUCCAGAUGUCCUGAUCAUACUUCAAAAAAUGGUCAGAGAUUCAGUCCUCAGUUAAUUGUUUCAUGCCAACAUUUUUUGUUGAAAGUUCAAAAAGUUAUGUAUAUGUAAUUUCAACUACCUUACUUUCUUUUAUUGCAUUAAUUGACUAAAUAAUGCACAACCAUACUCUUCAACCUCCA